CAUAUACUCCCUCCGUCCGAAAAUACUUGUCACCAAAAUUAAUAAAAAGGGAUGUAUCUAGAACUAAAAUACAUCUAGAUACAUCUCCUUUUAUCCAUUUUGAUGACAAGUAUUUUCGGACGGAGGGAGUACCAC
rnacentral:pre_miRNA from 1 species